rnacentral:rRNA from 1 species
CCUUCAUCGUUAAAUAGCCCGGCUCGCUUUGGCGUGUCGCCGGCUUCUUAGCGAGACUUUUGGCUUAAGCCAAAGGAAGUUGGAGGCAAUAACAGGUCUGUGAUGCCCUUAGAUGUUCUGGGCUGCACGCGCGCUACACUGACAGAGCCAACGAGUUUUUUUCCUUGGCCGGAAGGCCUGGGUAAUCUUGUUAAACUCUGUCGUGCUGGGGAUAGAGCAUUGCAAUUAUUGCUCUUCAACGAGGAAUGCCUAGUAAGCGCAUGUCAUCAGCAUGCGUUGAUUACGUCCCUGCCCUUUGUACACACCGCCCGUCGCUACUACCGAUUGAAUGGCUCAGUGAGGUCUCCGGAUUGGUUCAGGGAGGUUGGCAACGACCACCCAGGACCGAGAAGCUGAUCAAACUUGGUCAUUUAGAGGAAGUAAAAGUCG